AUGGACCCGCCGCCGCCGCCGGCCUCCAUCCCCGUCCCCGACGAGCUCCUGGAGGAGAUCUUCAUCCGCCUGCCCACCCCGGACGCGCUCGCCCGCGCCUCCGCCGCCUGCACCUCCUUCCGCCGGGUCAUCAAAGGUCGCGCCUUCCGCCGCCGCUUCCGCACGCUGCAUCGCCCUCCCCUCCUCGGCUUCAUGGACGAGGCCGGAUUCCAGCCCUCCCAGGCGCCGCACCCCUCCGCCCCGCUCGCCGGCGCCCUCGCCCCCUGCGCGGCCGAUUUCUCCUUCGUCCCGGCCGUCGUCUCGUCGUCCUCCUACUUCAUGCCGCCGGGCGUCCAAGACGACGGGGAAGGCCCCCGCUGGCGCCCCUGCGACGUCCGCGACGGCCGCGUCCUCCUCGAUUGGGUCUCCCUCCACCCCCGCGCCAUGCGCAUAUGCUGCUACAUGGAAGACGGCUACGAAGUAAGCAUCCUCAUGGAUUUCGGUGAGCUCGCCCCGCAUGACCGCCCCACCUGGACCAAACGGGAGCGGUGCAACGCCGCGGAGUUCCACCUCGCCGUCUGUGACCCCCUGUCCAGCAGAUACGUGCUGCUUCCAACCAUACCCGAGGACCUCGCCGUCAAGCCGCAAGAUUACCUUCGGGAAUUCGAGCCUGUACUCGCUCCCAACACCAGCGACGACGGCGAGGAGGAACACUUCAAGGUGAUAUGCAUAGCAAAAUACAACACAAAGCUCGUCCUCUUUGUCUUCCAGUCCACAACUAUGCAAUGGUCAAUGCCUUAUGACAGGAGUGACCAUUUGAUGGUGCUGGACACGCGCACUUUGAGGUUUUCCACUGUUGACCUUCUCACAGGUUACCAUGUGGAGCUCAGAGAUCUGCCUGACCAGAGCUUUGAUCGUCGGCGCCCAAAUGCUGUUGUUUUGGGCCGAGAAGGAACCCUUGAGAUGUUUUCUCUUGUCCAUCAACACGGAUCCUUUGCCCUCUAUCAUACCUCUCUGCAGAACAAUUCGCAGGAAUGGAAGCUUGAGAAGGUCAUACAGCUGCCUCGGCAGUAUCAUGACUAUUCCAUUUCCACAGUGGGUGCAGCCGAGGGAUUCUUGUUCUUACGAGGCACUCUAGAAGGUAUUCCUGUUGAGAAUGUCAACGUGGAUUGCUACUCAAUGGAGGUCAAGACAUAUGGAAUUACCAAAGUCUGUACAAAGACGGAGAAGUACUUCAACCGCACAUGUACCCUCCCAUACUUUAGCUUCCCACCACUGUUAUCGGAACCAACUAUCUGA
rnacentral:rRNA from 1 species